ACGUCACAGUGCUGCGGAAGUAGGGCGGAAGUAGUGCGGGACUGUGUGACUGACUGACCACCCUUAAGUGAUAUUAAACUACUUUUGGAAGACGAGGACGGACAUAGACACGUUAGAUAGAUAGCUAUAUAUACAUUUCUAUUUUUAGCGCUAGUUAAUCAAACUACUAUGGCGUUUUGGAAGACGCUAGGUGGGAACACCACUUUUGCUACCCCUUAACUUCUCAUUCGGUAACAAUCCCUGGAAUUAAGUAGCUCCAAAACGGCAACGGUAGGCAAGAAGGAUCCUUCCGGCUCAGCAUCGAUGAUGGAGUUAGCCGCGGCUCAUCCAGCUCUCAAAGCCUUUAUGUGCGGCUCCCUCAGUGGCACCUGCUCAACGCUGCUCUUCCAGCCGCUGGACCUGGUUAAGACGCGACUGCAGACCCUGCAGAACAACGCCAAGCCAGGGUCACCAAAAGUGGGGAUGCUUAGUGUUUUCGUCAACGUGAUAAGGACAGAGAACAUUUUUAGCCUGUGGAAAGGAGUUUCACCGUCAUUUGUUCGCUGCAUCCCCGGGGUGGGCAUCUACUUCAGCACCCUCUACUCCCUCAAGCAGCACUUCUUCCUGGACCGGGCACCCAACGCCUGCGAGGCCGUGUUAUUGGGUGCAAGCGCCCGAUCUGUGGCCGGCGUCUCUAUGCUGCCGUUCACCGUCAUCAAAACACGUUUUGAGAGUGGCUAUUACAACUACGUGAGCGUGGCUGGAGCUCUGAAGAGCGUGUACAAGACGGAGGGAUUUAGAGCGCUGUUCUCUGGCCUCACCGCUACUCUGCUGCGAGACACCCCCUUCUCUGGGAUCUAUGUCAUGUUCUACAGCCAGGCCAAGAAAACGCUGCCUCAAGAGGUGACGUCGUCAUUCUACGUCCCCCUGGUGAACUUCAGCUGUGGUGUGGUGGCAGGCAUCAUGGCGUCACUGGUCACGCAGCCUGCAGAUGUGGUGAAGACCCACAUUCAAGUCAGCCCAUCACACUGGAGAACGCUGGAUGCCAUUAAUUAUGUGUACAAGGAGCACGGCUUGGCCGGGUUUUUUCGCGGCGCUGUACCUCGGUCUCUGCGGCGAACUCUAAUGGCUGCCAUGGCCUGGACUGUCUACGAGCAACUGAUGGCUCGAAUGGGCCUCAAAUCCUAAAGAUUCUGAUAUAUUUUGACAAUUUUCUAAUGGAAGGAGUGUGUGAAUGACUGUGACAUUGAACUGGCAAGAGAAGAAUUAACAUGUUCUCUGGUCUUGUGCACACACUUGCUGGUUCAAGCAUCUGAAGGCACUUAGCUGUAGAUAUGUAUUAUUGUUGACAAAAAGAGAGAAAUAUAUCAACAUUUUCAAGUGUCUGUUCAAACACUGCCAAAUAGAUGAUCUGUAAUCUGUUUUGUUUAUUGCAAACGUGACAACCUCUUAUGAGACAGUUAUUUCAUAGCAACAUGUAGAAGUGUAAUGUUCCAUUGUUUGUGUUUAUCUCGCAGUAGUUUGAGUACAUGCAUUUGUGUCUCAUUUGACUUAUGUUCAUUCUAAUCGUCAAUAUUUGGUCUGUGCAGUGUUGGCAACGACGUUGUGCCUGUCACUUUUUAUGGUAAUAAAUGUAUUUUCUUAAAAA